rnacentral:rRNA from 1 species
CCUACGGGGGGCUGCAGUGAGGAAUAUUGGUCAAUGGACGAGAGUCUGAACCAGCCAAGUAGCGUGAAGGAUGACUGCCCUAUGGGUUGUAAACUUCUUUUAUAUGGGAAUAAAAUGUUCCACGUGUGGGAUUUUGUAUGUACCAUAUGAAUAAGGAUCGGCUAACUCCGUGCCAGCAGCCGCGGUAAUACGGAGGAUCCGAGCGUUAUCCGGAUUUAUUGGGUUUAAGGGGAGCGUAGGUGGAUUGUUAAGUCAGUUGUGAAAGUUUGCGGCUCAACCGUAAAAUUGCAGUUGAAACUGGCAGUCUUGAGUACAGUAGAGGUGGGCGGAAUUCGUGGUGUAGCGGUGAAAUGCUUAGAUAUCACGAAGAACUCCGAUUGCGAAGGCAGUUCACUGGACUGCAACUGACACUGAGGCUCGAAAGUGUGGGUAUCAAACAGGAUUAGAUACCCUUGUAGUC